UACGUAGGGGGCAAGCGUUGUCCGGAUUCAUUGGGCGUAAAGAGCGUGUAGGCGGCCAGGUAGGUCGGUUGUGAAAACUGGAGGCUCAACCUUCAGAGGUCGACCGAAACCAUCUGGCUAGAGUCCGGGAGAGGAGAGUGGAAUUCCUGGUGUAGCGGUGAAAUGCGCAGAUAUCAGGAAGAACACCCGUGGCGAAAGCGGCUCUCUGGAACGGUACUGACGCUGAGACGCGAAAGCGUGGGGUAGCAAACAGG
rnacentral:rRNA from 1 species